UACGGAGGAUCCAAGCGUUAUCCGGAAUCAUUGGGUUUAAAGGGUCCGUAGGCGGUUUAAUAAGUCAGUGGUGAAAGCCCAUCGCUCAACGGUGGAACGGCCAUUGAUACUGUUAAACUUGAAUUAUUAGGAAGUAACUAGAAUAUGUAGUGUAGCGGUGAAAUGCUUAGAGAUUACAUGGAAUACCAAUUGCGAAGGCAGGUUACUACUAAUGGAUUGACGCUGAGGCACGAAAAGCGUGAGGAUCAAAACAGG
rnacentral:rRNA from 1 species